AUUUAAAUCGCUUAUGAGCCGAUCAAUAAUUUCAAUAUGACCGCCGUCAGUAAAUAAUUUAAGUAUUAUCAAAAACAAAAAUGGAAAGAUAGUAACUUGCAAGAGAACAUAAUUUGAAUGUAGAAAGUAAGAAAUUUUAUUGAUGGGAUCUGAUCUUUGAACGCGUAUUUAAAUAUUUCUACCCGAAAAUCGUCAUUAUACGUUUCAUUCGCACUAUACAUUCACUUAUACAUACUAGAUCAUUAUAAUUAUGGUUACUUGUACGAUUUUCAACCUUGCACGUAUAAGCAUAAAGUCUAAAAUACGUAAUUUUAGUUAUAACAACCAGGCAUACAUAACGCUGUAUACAGUAUACAGUUACAUAUUUAAUAUUUGAGGCUUUCGCGGUGUGAAGUAAUGUUUGUUCUGACUUUCGGAUUGGAGCAGCGCUUUUUUGGUCAAUUAUUGGAAAUAAUUCAAUAAAUUGUUGGAAACUAAAAUAUAAACACGGUUAUAUAUUUUUCUAAAUUAUACUUAUGUCGCGCAAAAAAAACAUCCCGCGUCGCACACAUGUUACGGCCAAUAUUGAAAGCGCAACCAAAUUGUGAAAUAUCCGGCAGAUUCUAAGUCCAGUCGACUAAUUUGGUUAAUUCCCGACAAAAAAUUGCGGAUGGAGAUAUCAGUCACACCAAAUUGCACUGUCUCUAUUUAAUAUCAAAUAUAUUUGGUGGAAGAAAAUAGAAAACACACACAAAAGAUGCCAAGACAGUUUAAAAAGUAAAUUGAAGAAAGAAAACAAAUUUUGCAAGUUAUGUGCGUGUUCACAAUAAAAUACGGAAAAAAGAA